GUAUUAUGAUGAAAACUCAUGCGUGUCAUCUGACUUUGGAGCCUCCUCCUGGGUUGAUGCUUGAGUUGGCGUUUUGCUGGCUCAGGUUUUCAAUACAGCAGGGAUCCAAAGAUGUGAUCAUACACUUUAUUUCUGAAUGC
rnacentral:snoRNA from 1 species